rnacentral:rRNA from 1 species
GCUUGUCUCAAAGAUUAAGCCAUGCAUGUCUAAGUAUAAACGACUUUAUACUGUGAAACUGCGAAUGGCUCAUUAUAUCAGUUAUAGUUUAUUUGAUGGUCCUUGCUACUUGGAUAACCGUAGUAAUUCUAGAGCUAAUACAUGCAUCAGUACCCGACUUUGUGGAAGGGUUGUGUUUAUUAGAUAUAGAACCAACCCAGGCUCUGCCUGGUUAUGUGGUGAUUCAUGAUAACUGAAUGAAUCGCAUGGUCCGCCGGCGAUAAAUCAUUCAAGUUUCUGACCUAUCAGCUUCCGACGGUAGGGUAUUGGCCUACCGUGGCAAUGACGGGUAACGGAGAAUUAGGGUUCGAUUCCGGAGAGGGAGCCUGAGAAACGGCUACCACAUCUAAGGAAGGCAGCAGG